rnacentral:rRNA from 1 species
AGUGAACGCUGGCGGCGUGCUUAACACAUGCAAGUCGAACGAGAACGGAAUAUAGCUUGCUAUAUUUGUCAGCUAAGUGGCGCACGGGUGAGUAAUGUAUAGAUAACCUGCCCUUAAGAGAGGAAUAACAGUUGGAAACGACUGCUAAUGCCCUAUAUGCCUUUAAUACAUAAGUAUGCAAGGGAAACGCUUUAGUGCUUAAGGAUGGGUCUGUAUGGUAUCAGCUUGUUGGUGAGGUAAUGGCUCACCAAGGCUAUGACGCCUAACUAGUUUGAGAGGAUGAUCAGUCACACUGGAACUGAGACACGGUCCAGACUCCUACGGGAGGCAGCAGUGGGGAAUAUUGCACAAUGGACGAAAGUCUGAUGCAGCAACGCCGCGUGGAGGAUGACACAUUUCGGUGCGUAAACCCCUUUUAUAUAGGAAGAUAAUGACGGUACUAUAUGAAUAAGCACCGGCUAACUCCGUGCCAGCCGCCGCCGUAA